CUGCUUAUGGUUGAUUUUUUUUUUCUUUGUAUUUCAAAGCUGUUAUAACCCCUUAGCAAAGUGAGCAGCUGAAAAGAGUGGUUUUGCUACAAUUUGUUUGCUUCAUACAAAAUGAGAAGGAAGGUGUUUAGGAGAAGGAGCUUGCAUGUGGUUGCAGGAGCUUAAGUGCAUAUCGAAGGGAGUACUAAUAGGAACAAUUGUUCAGAUUGAAGUUUUAUGUGUUCUACUUUUGAUGAGGAGUGUUGACUGUUGAGAACCAGAGACUACAAAUUCAUGAACAUUUGGAGGGUGGAGGCAGAUCUUCUGCUAGAGACACCAUUGGAAGAGUUGCUCCUGAGCUUUGGCAAGAAAAUUUUGAAGCUAUUUGCAGGAACUGAGGUUUGUUUACUUUCAGUUUGCAAAUGACAUUGCUCUCAAAGAAUCAAUUUACAUCUAACUCUUUGUAUACUUUCUGACGUUUGGUUUGUUCUUUUAUCUCUGUCUUUUCUAUCUUAGUAUAUCCUUGCAGUAUGUCCCUUAGUUAAAAACUGAUGUUGCCACUUCUUAUUAUGAGACGACAUGUUCAAGUAAGGAGAUAUAGAAAGUCCAUGAACGUUUUUGAUUGUAUUGGUUUCGUUUGUUUUGUUUUAUUGUAAAACAGGUUAAGUGAGAGGAUGGUUUCAAAGACUUGUUUUCGUCAUGUGAUAAGAAUAUUGUGAGGCUUAGGUACGAGAUAACACAUUCUACGGGUAUAAAGAAGCUAGUUUAAGAAGAUGAUGAUUUUGAAGGCUUUAAGAAGUUUUUUAUUUUCGCCUUGUGAUGUUAGUUUUAGUUUGUUUAAGACUAGGCAGCAUUUUAGUAAUAAGUAUAAGACUUAAUAUGAUGUUAUGUAUGACUUGUUGGUUAAUGAAAUAUUUACCUGUUGAUGAUA